UACGUAGGGGGCUAGCGUUGUCCGGAUUUAUUGGGCGUAAAGAGCGUGUAGGCGGCCAGGUAGGUCUGCUGUGAAAACUCGAGGCUCAACCUCGAGACGUCGGCGGAAACCAUCUGGCUAGAGUCCGGAAGAGGAGAGUGGAAUUCCUGGUGUAGCGGUGAAAUGCGCAGAUAUCAGGAGGAACACCGGUGGCGAAGGCGGAUCUCUGGGCCUGUCCUGACGCUGAGGCGCGAAAGCGUGGGGAGCGAACAGG
rnacentral:rRNA from 1 species